UAGUCGGAUUGCAACGAGUAAGAACAACGUGCAACAAAUUGAGACAGGAUGUUGGCGGAUCAACGAGUUCGUAAAAUAAGACGAGAUCAGAUUCUGGUAAUCACAACAUUAAUUCCGCACCAUAAAGAGGUAUGUAAAAAUCUAUGUGAUUUUUGCAACGAUUGUUUUUUGGGUGUUUAAUUACUUUUAUCCAACAGUGGUAUCAGAGCCUUAAAGUGCUUGUUUUCGCU
rnacentral:lncRNA from 1 species